UACGUAGGGGGCAAGCGUUACUCGGAAUUACUGGGCGUAAAGCGUGCGUAGGCGGUUUGUUAAGUCUGUCGUGAAAGCCCCGGGCUCAACCUGGGAAUGGCGAUGGAUACUGGCGAGCUAGAGUACGGUAGAGGAGAGUGGAAUUCCCGGUGUAGCAGUGAAAUGCGUAGAGAUCGGGAGGAACAUCAGUUGCGAAGGCGGCUCUCUGGACCAGUACUGACGCUGAGGCACGAAAGCGUGGGGAGCAAACAGG
rnacentral:rRNA from 1 species